UACGGGGGGGGUAAGCGUUGUUCGGAAUUACUGGGCGUAAAGGGCUCGUAGGCGGCCAACUAAGUCGGACGUGAAAUCCCUCAGCUUAACUGGGGAACUGCGUCCGAUACUGGAUGGCUUGGAUUUGGGAGAGGGAUGCGGAAUUCCAGGUGUAGCGGUGAAAUGCGUAGAUAUCUGGAGGAACACCAAUGGCGAAGGCAGCUCACUGGGACGGUAUUGACGCUGAGACGCGAAAGCGUGGGGAGCAAACAGG
rnacentral:rRNA from 1 species